CCUACGGGAGGCAGCAGUGGGGGAUAUUGCACAAUGGGGGAAACCCUGAUGCAGCGACGCCGCGUGAGUGAAGAAGUAUUUCGGUAUGUUAAGCUCUAUCAGCAGGGAAGAAAAUGACAGUACCUGACCAAGAAGCCCCGGCUAACUACGUGCCAGCAGCCGCGGUAAUCCGUAGGGGGCAAGCGUUAUCCGGGUUUACUGGGGGUAAAGGGGGCGUAGACGGUUAUGUAAGUCUGGAGGGAAAGCCCGGGGCCCAACCCCGGGACUGCUUUGGGAACUGUGUAACUGGAGUACAGGAGGGGCAGGCGGGAAUCCGGGGGUAGGGGUGGAAUGCG
rnacentral:rRNA from 1 species